rnacentral:rRNA from 2 species
ACGACGUCGAGCUACUACGGUAGUGAAGUCAUUGAUGCCAUGCUUCCAGGAAAAGCCUCUAAGCUUCAGAUAGUCAGGAAUCGUACCCCAAACCGACACAGGUGGUCGGGUAGAGAAUACCAAGGCGCUUGAGAGAACUCGGGUGAAGGAACUAGGCAAAAUGGUACCGUAACUUCGGGAGAAGGUACGCUCUUGAUGGUGAAGUCCCUCGCGGAUGGAGCUGACGAGAGUCGCAGAUACCAGGUGGCUGCAACUGUUUAUUAAAAACACAGCACUGUGCAAAAUCGCAAGAUGACGUAUACGGUGUGACGCCUGCCCGGUGCCGGAAGGUUAAUUGAUGGGGUUAGCGCAAGCGAAGCUCUUGAUCGAAGCCCCGGUAAACGGCGGCCGUAACUAUAACGGUCCUAAGGUAGCGAAAUUCCUUGUCGGGUAAGUUCCGACCUGCACGAAUGGCGUAAUGAUGGCCACGCUGUCUCCACCCGAGACUCAGUGAAAUUGAAAUCGCUGUGAAGAUACAGUGUACCCGCGGCUAGACGGAAAGACCCCGUGAACCUUUACUACAGCUUGGCACUGAACAUUGAACCUACAUGUGUAGGAUAGGUGGGAGGCUAUGAAGACGUGACGCCAGUUGCGUUGGAGCCGUCCUUGAAAUACCACCCUUGUAUGUUUGAUGUUCUAACUUAGACCCAUUAUCUGGGUUGAGGACAGUGCCUGGUGGGUAGUUUGACUGGGGCGGUCUCCUCCCAAAGAGUAACGGAGGAGCACGAAGGUGGGCUAAUCACGGUUGGACAUCGUGAGGUUAGUGCAAUGGCAUAAGCCCGCUUAACUGCGAGAAUGACGGUUCGAGCAGGUGCGAAAGCAGGUCAUAGUGAUCCGGUGGUUCUGUAUGGAAGGGCCAUCGCUCAACGGAUAAAAGGUACUCCGGGGAUAACAGGCUGAUACCGCCCAAGAGUUCAUAUCGACGGCGGUGUUUGGCACCUCGAUGUCGGCUCAUCACAUCCUGGGGCUGAAGUCGGUCCCAAGGGUAUGGCUGUUCGCCAUUUAAAGUGGUACGCGAGCUGGGUUUAGAACGUCGUGAGACAGUUCGGUCCCUAUCUGCCGUGGGCGUUGGAAGAUUGAAGGGGGCUGCUCCUAGUACGAGAGGACCGGAGUGGACGAACCUCUGGUGUUCGGGUUGUGUCGCCAGACGCAUUGCCCGGUAGCUAAGUUCGGAAUUGAUAAGCGCUGAAAGCAUCUAAGCGCGAAGCGAGCCCUGAGAUGAGUCUUCCCUGAUACUUUAAGUAUCCUAAAGGGUUGUUCGAGACUAGAACGUUGAUAGGCAGGGUGUGUAAGCGUUGUGAGGCGUUGAGCUAACCUGUACUAAUUGCCCGUGAGGCUUAACCAU